CCCUUAGAUGUUCUGGGCCGCACGCGCGCUACACUGAUGCAUUCAACGAGUUUUUCCUUGGCCGAGAGGCCUGGGCAAUCUUUUAAACGUGCAUCGUGAUAGGGAUAGAUUAUUGCAAUUAUUAAUCUUGAACGAGGAAUUCCUAGUAAACGCAGAUCAUCAAUCUGCAUUGAUUACGUCCCUACCCUUUGUACACACCGCCCGUCGCACCUACCGAUUGAAUGGUCCGGUGAAGCCUCGGGAUUGUGGCGAGUUCCCUUUAUUGGGAGUUUGUCGCGAGAACUUGUCUAAACCUUAUCAUUUAGAGGAAGGUGAAGUCGUAACA
rnacentral:rRNA from 1 species